CUUUAGGUGCUUGUUUCUCUAGCAUUUGGCAAGGUUUUCUCCUGUCCCAUGUGCCUGUUCAGCUGGCCAGUCCUUUUAGGGGAAGGAGUUGCAUGAGUUCACUUGGUCCAUGUGUAUCUGGUGCAUGGAGAAUGAGCGUGUGCCAUGGCUGCCACAGAUGUGCAGCCAUGUAAGUUAGUAGUAACUUGCUGGUGUGCGUGAUGACCCAACUUUUUUCCCCAUCAGAGCGACAGUGUUGAUUUCUCACCACUCUAGCCAGAUCUCGUCUGAUACACCAGCGGAGAGGCACUGCUGGGUCCUGUGCCCCCGCAGGGCUCGGUGCUGAUUGUGCUGAUUGUUCCCUUUGCUUUUAGUCCUAGGCCCCUGCAGAGGGGGUCGUGGUCUCAGGCCUGCUGGGGAACUCGUGCGAAGGCUGUAGCAGACCGGGAUCAGUCCUGGUGGCUGCACCGUGCUUGAGCCGCUGGCAGGAGGGAUUGGUGCCAUGUGUCCGGAGGGCUCAGGACCAGGCCACGCGGCGUGGAGACGUUUGGGCAGCGUGCUGUUCAGGGCAGCUGCCCCAGCGUGGGAUGGGAGCCAGCCUGGCUGAGGUAGAUCCCUUUGGAAGAGGCGCUGUCCUAGGCCCCUGCAGAGGGGGUCGUGGUCUCAGGCCUGCUGGGGAACUCGUGCGAAGGCUGUAG
rnacentral:lncRNA from 1 species